rnacentral:rRNA from 1 species
UUUUGCCUACGGGGGGCAGCAGUGGGGAAUAUUGCACAAUGGGGGGAACCCUGAUGCAGCGACGCCGCGUGGGUGAAGGAGCACCUCGGUGCGUAAAGCCCUAUCGGCAGGGAAGAAACAGACGGUACCUGACUAAGAAGCCCCGGCUAACUACGUGCCAGCAGCCGCGGUAAUACGUAGGGGGCAAGCGUUAUCCGGAUUUACUGGGUGUAAAGGGAGCGUAGACGGAAUUGCAAGUCUGAUGUGAAAAUCCGGGGCCCAACCCCGGAACUGCAUUGGAAACUGUAUUUCUAGAGUGUCGGAGG